AACGAACGCUGGCGGCGUGCCUGACACAUGCAAGUCGAACGAGAAAGGGGCUUCGGCUCCGAGUAAAGUGGCGCACGGGUGAGUAACACGUGGGUAACCUGCCUCUAAGAUUGGGAUAACUCGUCGAAAGAUGAGCUAAUACCGAAUAAGACCACAGUUCCCGCGGGAACAGGGGUCAAAGGUAGCCUCUGCUUGCAAGCUAUCACUUAGGGAUAGGCCUGCGCACCAUUAGCUAGUUGGUAGGGUAACGGCCUACCAAGGAAGAGAUGGUUCACUGGUGUGAGAGGGUGAUCAGCCACACUGGAACUGAGCAACGGUCCAGACUCCUACGGGAGGCAGCAGUGGGGAAUAUUGCGCAAGGGGCGAAAGCUUGACGCAGCAACGCCGCGUGAGUGAGGAAGGCCUUCGGGUCGUAAAGCUCUGUCGGGAGGAACGAAUGCUCCUGCGGUUAACAGCCUCGGGAGGUGACGGUACCUUCAAAGGAAGCACCGGCUAACUCUGUGCCAGCCGCCGCGGUAAUAC
rnacentral:rRNA from 1 species